AUUAAAGGUGUGAGCCACUGCACCCGGCCGGCCUUGUACUUUUGAGGCGGUGUUGACUCUUGCAAUCCAUAGCUUUGAGAGCUCCCCAUCCGAAUCUCAGGCACACUUGACUUUUUCACUCUCGUAGGAGUGAUCUCCUUAGUCCAUCGAUCAAACUGCUGAGAGCAGGCCAUGGCCUGCCUGCUGUCAUGGCCCGUGAAGCAGAAUUGGAGAUGAGAGGGGAGGACCUGGGCUGGAGAGUGGGCAGGAGGAGAUCCUGCAAACAGGGAACUGAGAGAGGGGAGGGAGGAGGAGGGUUUGAGAGUGGGGAGGGGAGCUGGGGGUGCUCCCUGAAGACCAGGAGGAGAGGAAGGAGGGGAGCUGCAGGCUAUGAACGGGGCUGCAGGUUAUGAAUGGGGCACUCCGGCGUUCUGAGAACUGAGCACUCCGACAUUCUGAGAACUGGGCACAGGGGCACCAGGCCCUAAGUGAGUUCUGCUCCGGGGUGGCCGGGCCCGAGAGCACUGACGUCCAACGGGAGUGUCGCUGCCCACCGCCUCCCACAAGAGGACACUUCGAUUUGCCAGAGAAGGGCAGAGUGGGAGAUGACUUUUUCUCAGCAUCUUGCCUCAUUUUCCUCUUCCCAGAGGUUUGUUUUUAAGGAAGUUUAAGCUUGCUGCACUGGAAAAGCAAAAAACAAUAUUUUGUAAAAUAAAUAUUUGUUUUGUGCAGACUUAGGCCUUUCCACAUAUUGGUUUUUCUUGAAGAGGAGACACAACCACAGCAGGGGUGAGGAGAAGAGAGAUGCAGUCACUCACUCAUUCAGGAAUAAUCUUUGAGUUGAAACUGCAGUCUGCUCUUGGCCAAAGGUAGGGUGCUGACCACCUUCACCUGGAGGCCGCCUUCACCUGGAGGCCGCCCACCACCUUCACCUGGAGGCUGCCCUUGCUCUUUCAGGAUCCUCUUUCAUGGGUUUCUGCAGAGCCACGGGGUCAGAGCACAUAUGUGGGCCAUGAGGACUUUUCCUUUGCACCCCAACACAUCUCUACCCGUCCUCCCUGCACCCCCAACCCGAAGACGGGCGUGUGAUCCUGUGGGUGGGUGCAUGGUCCGUGUGUGUAAUUUUGUCCGGAGCAGUAAUUCUCGGAGUGGGCCCCAGACCCGCAGUGUAAGCAUUGCCUGGUGCUGUGGUUUGGACGUGUGUCCCCUCCACAUCUCAUGUUGAAAUGUAUCCCCAGUGUUGGAGUGAGGCCUACGGACAGGGGUUUGGGUCAAGGGUCAGAUCCCUCAGGAAUGGCUUCCUGCCGACCCCACCUGCCAGUCAUGAGCGGGCCCUUGCUCAAUUAGUUCCUGCGUGAGCCAGGUGUUAAAAGAGCGUGGCCCCUCCCUCCCUUUGGCUUCCUCUCCCACUGUGCCCUCUGCACACAUGGCUCCCCUUCACCCUCCACCCUAAGUGGGAGCAGGCUGAGGCCCCACCAGAAGCAGAUUCUGUUGCCAGGCUUCUUGUACAGCCUGCAGAACUGUGAGCCAAAGAGACCACUUUUCUUUAGAAGUUGCCCGGCCCCAGGUGUCCCUUGAUAGCCACACAAAUGUUCACCUGUGAACUUGCUAUAAAUUCAGAUUCUCAGGCCCCACCCAGACCUGCUGAGUCAGAAACUCCAGCAGGGGCCUGGAAGUCUGCCUUUUACCAGGAACCUGUGUGAUUCCCAUACAGAGUUUGAGAACCUCUGGUCUCUGGAACUGCAUGCUUUAAAUGGGUGCAUUUUACGUAUGUGGAUUAUAUCUUUAAAAAGAUAUCCAAAGACAAACAAAAAGAUAAUUGACUACCUGAAGCAAAGACGGGAAAAGUGUAUUGUGGGGUUUGUAACAUGCAGAAGCAAAUCUGUGGUAACAACAGUACCAAGGAUGGGAGGCAGGAAGUACAGGCGCUGCUGUCAGGUUACUACAUGUAUGUGAAGUGGUAGAAUAUUGUGUAAUGGCAGACUGAGAAGCUACAGCUGUAACUUUAUCAUAAGCCCUAUUGCAACCAUGAAUAGCUACACUAAGAGGUAUAACAAGGCAAUAGUGAAGAUGAAAUGAAAUAAUAAAAAAAUACUCAGC
rnacentral:lncRNA from 1 species